ACAAGGUUUUGGUGUCCUGGAACUCACAUUGUAGAGCAGGCUGGCCUCGAACUUAGAGAUCCACCGGCCUUUGUCUCUGAGUGCUGGGAUUAAAGGUGUGGGCCACCACACUCUGGCUGGCUGUUUCUGUUUAUAGAAGUCCCACCACUCUCACCACGUGUAUUAGAAAAAACUAUCUUUCCUAUACCGAAGUGCCUUUGUUGGACCAAGAGUGUGUUAGAGGAACUUCUGGUCCCUCUGCCCACGUGCAUACCUGCACCACACAUCUGCAGUGCUGGAGACAGAGUUAGGAUCAACCCAUGGGGAAUAAUUGGUAAUACAUUAUGACUGAGUCUUUGUCACAACAGUUCAGCUGUUAUGACCCAAUUCCACCCUCUUAGGGUGUCUGCAGGACAUCAACCCAACAAUCACCAGGUAGUCCUUGUGUCCGUUUCCACCCCAUAUUGUCCCCUCCUCCCUGAGAAAGAACAUCAGAAACCGAAGCCUCUUCUCAGCAUGUGGGAAUCUGUUGAAGCUCAAGAGGUACCAGGUAUCUAAAAUCUUCCAGGCAUUACGCUAGAUACAGAAGCACAGACAGAUGCAAGCAUACUGGCUUCAAAAAAUCUAAAGCAACAGAAGAAAAAAACUAUCAAUGAACAGUUCAGGGAUAGUCACUGGAGAUGGCACAGAUGCCUGGGAAAUGGGAGCAUGAGGUUUAAGGUCAUCCUCUACUACACAAUGCAGGCACAGAAACUCAAGUGACCAAAAAGGCAGCAAGAAGAAAGCGGGCAGUUCUUUCCAGUGAAGUCUCAAUUAUCAUCUGACGCUGACCUGCACCUCCAACUUUCAC